GGAUUAGAUAUUCUUCAGAUUCAGCUCCAUCUGAUUUCAAGACACAAUAGCUGGAAUCACAUAAACCAGCCCUUAAGUCUAGAACUGGAAGACACAAUUUGAUUUUUGCAUAAAAACAGAAUGGACCAUAGAGCAGGAGCUGUGAUGUUUCACCAGCCAGCCUUGCACAGCUGCACUACAGAUGUGCUGUGUGCCAUUCUGAUGGAAUAAAUUUCCCACACUCUGUAAGAUACUGUAUUCUCUGUCACUCAGUUGAGAUUCCAGCAAGAUAAAU
rnacentral:lncRNA from 1 species